UGUGUUCUUUCUCUCAAAUAAAUAAACAUUAAGUGUGUGUAUGUAUGUAUAUAUAUAUAUAUAUACAUACAUACACACACAUACACACAUAUUUAACAUUUAUAUAUGUUCUAUAAGUCUAGGCAGUUAGGCAAAUCCCAGCAUUCUCUCUUGAAAGGCUGCAGUAUGGCAGUGACAAUGGAAAUGGAGAAGAUGGAAUGGAUUCAGAGGGCAUUUAGGAGGUAGAAUCAGUAGGACUUCUUGCCUAAUGUAGAUGGCAAGGAAAAGCAAAGAAUGCAGGAUGAUUGCUAGAUCUCUUGAGUUGACCAGCCUCAUUUACUGAGAGUAAAUUCAAGAUGUGGAGGGGUUUAGUUUGGGUGGAGGCAAGGAGGCAAGACAAAGCAAGAUGAAUGAUGAGUUAAUUUUGUUUUGAGUUUAAGGUGCCAGUGGACUAGCCAGAUGGAGAUGUGAGUCUGGAUGGAGCUUAGAAGAAAUAUAUGAACUGGAGAUCGAUGCUUGGGAGCUGUCAGCAUAUGUAAUGGUAACUGAGGGCGUGAGAAAUGAGAACACAAGAUAGAAGUGUCACUUCGGGGCAGGUGCAGCACAAAAGCUUGGGAAAGAGACAAGCAAUGGCCAGGAGGGAUUUUACAGAGCCUGAGAUUCCGCAACAUUAAGUGAUUGGCCAAGUCCAGAGGCCACCAAGGAGUAGAAUACAGGCCCUGUACCUGCUAACCCUGUACCCAUCCCACUCCAUCACGCCCAAACUAUGAACUGCAGACCUUGUUUAAAAUGACAGGUAAGAGCAAACAAAAACUGGAAAUGAUGCCAGAAGAGGAACUGAAUAUGAGAGAGACUCAAGAGAUUCCCCAGAAUAGAAGUUGCAGAAUUUGGCAGAAUGAUUAGGGUGGACACUUCAGGAAGAAGACUUCGGGUUGUUAGAGAGAAGCUCCCCCACCCCCUAAGCUGAAGAAGAAGCAUCUGCAUGCCCUGCUUCCACCUGGGGACUCCCAGAUUGCCACACAAUAGCACCUCCUAGAGGUGUCGGCAGUGGUGAGACCCGCCCUUCCCAGAGAGACUGUUUUCUGUGCCACUUUGUCUUCCCCUGGUGGUCACGCUGUGUUGUGGCUGCAGCGAAAACCUUUUGUGUGUCAGACAUGAUGGGCAGCGUGGACAAGUCACACUGGUGCCCAACACCUCCCACCACUGAGUACUGUGAGGGCAGAGACUUGGUCUUCUUUGCAACCUAUCUCUACCCCCUCACGUUGAGGAUAUCUGUAUACCCACAAGGACAUACCAUCAGCGUGUAGUAAAUCUUGCUGAAUGACAGACAAAGUGACAUGUUGAGGAAGCAGAUGAUGAAAGUUUCUGACCUUAAAUGUGGACUAAUCAGAUAAGUGUACUAGUGAUACAAGAAAUCACGGAAGACGCUGUGGGAGAAGAACUGAAACUUCUUCUAGAAAAUCCAUUAAUGACCAGAAUAGAUCUCUGACUUUUUUCAUGUGCAUUAGAUAACAACCAUGGAGAAUUGAGAUUCCUCCAUUGUGGCUUCUGCCUUGCCUGCUCCACCAAAAUCGCUCUCUCCAAGCUAACCAGGAACCUGCAGCUUGCCACACCGGGGGCAUUUCUGCCUCUUCUUACUGGCACGCUCCUCAUGGGACCAGCUGAGCAUCCUUCUCUUGUACGUGAAAGAAAAUCCAACUGAUUGUAGCGAGAAGACCUUUUAGUUCCUCCAGAGAGGGAUCUUCCAGAUGCCUCUGGGGGCUAUAGAUGGCCAGCUGAGGCCCAUCUCCGAACCAGGCAGGAGAAAGCAGCCAGGGACCGCCUGGUUCUGAAGGAUUGUAUUCCCACAGAACAUCAGAAAAUAGAAAUUCUGCAUUUUUCAGUGACACCCAAUUUGCUCUACAAAAAGUAAAGCAUGAAGAUGAACAGAUUGAAGCAAGGAGAAGUAACCUGCCCAAAUUCACACAGCUCAACUAGGUGUCCUGAGUCGCAGCUGUUGACCACUGUGCCAUAUGCCAAGUUGCAACAUCUUUGUACAUCACGAACUUGUUAAAGACCUGUCCACCUACUUCAAAGGAAACUCAUGAUAUUAAAACACAGAGGAGUUCCUGUCUCUCCCUCUCUCUCUCCGCACACACACACAUCCACACACACACACAGCGAAUUAAAAGGAACAGAGAGAACUGUGUAGACCGGAAGUUUGAGAUGAGUUUUUUUUCCCCCCAUUGGAGCACAAAAUUUGCUCUGAUUUCCUGGCAACUAAUGAAAACAAAAGUGAAAUGUUAGAUUAUAUGGUUCUCAUUGUUUUGUAGAGCAAGCAUGCAAAUUAUUUUGCAGAGAAAAGUUUUUGGCAACUGAAUUCUAGAAGCAAUUUCUAGAAUUCUAAUAAAAGAAUUCUAUAUUAAGGUUUUUUAAAAAUCUUUUUUAUUGUGAAAUGUAAUACUCAGAAAAAUACAUUAACAUAAAUGUACAGCUGACUGAAUUGUUGGAAAGAGAGACACCACCUCCCCCCACCCUGGUCAAGAAAUAGAAGCUUCACAGCCCCAAAGAAGCUCUCCUUGCCCACAAACAUGACCAUUAUCAUAAUUUUUAUGACAAUCAUCUCUUUGCUUAUUUUUUUUUUACAGUUAUACUACCUAAAUAGCACACACACUGUAUUUUUGCCUUUUUUUUUUUUUUUUUUAUCUUGAUAUGAUUAGAAUCACACAUUAUUCUUUUUGGCUUCUGUUCAACUUUGUGUCCGUGAGAUUCAUCCAAAUUGGUCUGUGUAGCUACAUUCAUUUUUAUCGCACUAUGGUACUUGACUGUACUUGGCUGGAUGACAUUUAGGACCCUCCCACAAUUUGGCUACUCAUUAGCUGGUGGACAUUUGGGUUAUUUGGGUUGUUGGCUACUAUGGAGAAUGCUGCUGUGAGCACUCUCAUGUGUGUCUCCUGACUGAAGUGUGUGCAUGUAUCAGCCGGGUCACAGGGCGAACAUAGAGGAUGUUUUUGUAGAGGAUGCCUAGUGGUCUUCCCAAAUGGUUGUACCAUUUAAACCACUGCUAGUAACGUAUGAAAGUUUUCUAAAUUCUUUUUUUUUUUUAAUUUUAUUUAAUGUUUAUUUAUUUUUGAG